rnacentral:tRNA from 1 species
CCUGGUGGCUCAGACGGUAAAGCAUCUGCCUGCAAUGCGGGAGACCCGGGUUCAAUUCCUGGGUCAGGA